AACGAACGCUGGCGGCAUGCCUAACACAUGCAAGUCGAACGAAGCUUUCGGGCUUAGUGGCGCACGGGUGCGUAACGCGUGGGAAUCUGCCCUUAGGUACGGAAUAACCCAGGGAAACUUGUGCUAAUACCGUAUGAUGUCUUCGGACCAAAGAUUUAUCGCCUAGGGAUGAGCCCGCGUCGGAUUAGCUAGUUGGUGGGGUAAAGGCCUACCAAGGCGACGAUCCGUAGCUGGUCUGAGAGGAUGAUCAGCCACACUGGGACUGAGACACGGCCCAGACUCCACCGGGAGGCAGCAGUGGGGAAUAUGGGACGAUGGGCGAAAGCAUGAGCCAGCAAUGCCGCGUGAGUGAAGAAAUCCUUAGGGAUGUAAGGCUCUUUUGCCGGGGAAGAUAAGGGCGGUACCGAGAGAAUAAGCGCCGGCUAACUCCGUGCCAGCAGCCGCCGUAAUAC
rnacentral:rRNA from 1 species